CGCGUAGGCGGACAUUUAAGUUGGGGGUGAAAGCCCGGGGCUCAACCUCGGAAUUGCCUUCAAUACUGGGUGUCUUGAGUACGGGAGAGGUGUGUGGAACUCCGAGUGUAGAGGUGAAAUUCGUAGAUAUUCGGAAGAACACCAGUGGCGAAGGCGACACACUGGCCCGUUACUGACGCUGAGGCGCGAAAGCGUGGGGAGCAAACAG
rnacentral:rRNA from 1 species